rnacentral:rRNA from 1 species
UCGUUAACGAACGAGACCUUAACCUGCUAAAUAGUUAGGCCAACGUUUGUUGGUCGUCAACUUCUUAGAGGGACUAUUGACUAUUAGUCAAUGGAAGUUUGAGGCAAUAACAGGUCUGUGAUACCCUUAGAUGUUCUGGGCCGCACGCGCGCUACACUGACAGAGCCAGCGAGUACUCCCUUGGCCGGAAGGCCCGGGUAAUCUUGUUAAACUCUGUCGUGCUGGGGAUAGAGCAUUGCAAUUAUUGCUCUUCGACGAGGAAUGCCUAGUAAGCGUGAGUCAUCAGCUCGCGUUGAUUACGUCCCUGCCCUUUGUACACACCGCCCGUCGCUAGUACCGAUUGAAUGGAUC